ACAGAGGGUGCAAGCGUUGUUCGGAAUUACUGGGCGUAAAGGGCGUGUAGGCGGUUGAUUAAGUUGGAUGUUAAAGACCUGGGCUUAACCUGGGGAAUGCGUGCGAUACUGGUCAGCUAGAGUUCAGGAGAGGAGAGUGGAAUUUCCGGUGUAGAGGUGGAAUUCGUAGAUAUCGGAAGGAACACCAGAGGCGAAGGCGGCUCUCUGGCCUGUAACUGACGCUGAGGCGCGAAAGCGUGGGGAGCAAACAG
rnacentral:rRNA from 1 species